CCUACGGGGGGCUGCAGUGGGGAAUAUUGGACAAUGGGGGGAACCCUGAUCCAGCCAUGCCGCGUGUGUGAAGAAGGCCCUCGGGUUGUAAAGCACUUUCAGUGAGGAAGAACGCCUGGUGGUUAAUACCCAUCAGGAAAGACAUCACUCACAGAAGAAGCACCGGCUAACUCCGUGCCAGCAGCCGCGGUAAUACGGAGGGUGCGAGCGUUAAUCGGAAUUACUGGGCGUAAAGCGCGCGUAGGUGGCUUGAUAAGCCGGUUGUGAAAGCCCCGGGCUCAACCUGGGAACGGCAUCCGGAACUGUCAAGCUAGAGUGCAGGAGAGGAAGGUAGAAUUCCCGGUGUAGCGGCGAAAUGCGUAGAGAUCGGGAGGAAUACCAGUGGCGAAGGCGGCCUUCUGGACUGACACUGACACUGAGGUGCGAAAGCGUGGGUAGCAAACAGGAUUAGAUACCCGUGUAGUC
rnacentral:rRNA from 1 species